GGAUGCGAUCAUACCAGCACUAACGCAUCGGAUCCCAUCAGAACUCUGUAGUUAAGCGUGCUUGGCCGAGAGUAGUACUAGGAUAGGUCACCCCCAGGGAAGUCCUCGUGUUACAUCCC
rnacentral:rRNA from 1 species